AUGUCUCUUCCCAAGACUUAUUGCCACCCACACUCUUUCUUUCACGACAGACCUCCCAUGGAUUCCAAAGGAGGGUGUGGAUCCUGGCCUCUGGUUGGGCUACUCUGGCAGAGCUCUGUUGUCUGCUGGGGCUGCUCCUCCCCACCUCUUCUCAGCUUGGCCUCAAUCUCUCUCCUCCCACUUCCAUUAGCCAGCCUUCUAGUAAAUGAGAAUUAAUACAGCUUUUAAGUACAUAGUUCAUUUUUUUAAAUAUUUAUUUGAGUGAGAGAGUGCACGCAGUGGGAGGAGCAGCAGGAGAGCACACAAAGGAACUCUCUAUACUGAAGGUGGAGCCUAUCAGAGGCUCAAUCCUAGGAUCAUGACCUGAGCCGAAAUCCAAGAGUCAGAUACUCAACCGACUGAGCCACCCAGUUGCCCCAAGUACGGUGUUUAAAAGAUUUUUUAUUCAACAGCAAAUGAAUUGACUCUUUUAUAUUCCUUUCUCUCAAAGGGGGGGGAACCCUAAUACUUUUUUUUAAGUGAUUCAGAUUCCCCCACCCUUUGGGUCAUAUACUUUAAUAGAAAACACGUUCCAUUUUGCUAUAUCGAAUAGUAGUGUUUUGUUAAUGUUUCAGUGUCUGAUUUUUUUUUCCAACGGGGGUGAGGAGGAAGGCAGGCUGGGCCCAGUAGGGUCCUAAGGGCAGGGAGGACCUAAGUGAGGUAUUUACUCACAGCAGCUGGCAGGGAAUGAAGCCAGAGGGUGAGUGUAAAACUAUAUUUGGGGAGGUGUGGCAGGGGUUAAGUAUUAAUCUAGAGAAGCAAAAUCUUGUCAUCAAGUCCAAGGGUCAAAUUCAGAGCCUGAAAUAGAAGAUGACAUCAUAGGUCAGAACUCCGUCUAUUUCACUCUGUAGCACUGGACCCACUGGACCCUUUCGCCUCAUACCUGCCUAAAUCAUUAUACUGGAGUUUACCAAGUCCCACAGCUCCCUUUUAUGGGAUGAGCAAACAUGAGCUAAGCCCAGGUCAGGUUUAGUAAAAGAGCACAUGACGGCACCAGACUGGUGGAAUUCAGACUCUGGUGCUCAAUAAAUACUUUUCAGAUGAUGAAAUCA
rnacentral:lncRNA from 12 species